rnacentral:misc_RNA from 1 species
GAAAUGCGAUAAGUAAUGUGAAUUGCAGAAUUCCGUGAAUCAUCGAAUCUUUGAACGCACAUUGCGCCCUCUGGUAUUCCGGGGGGCAUGCCUGUCCGAGCGUCAUUGCAACCCUCAAGCACGGCUUGUGUGAUAGAUCGCCGUCCCCCGUGGCCGGGCCCGAAAGGCAGUGGCGGCGUCGCGGUUAUCCGAUCGCCGGGUGUAUGGGGCUCUGUCACGCUCCACGGCCUGGACCGGCGCCCGCGGACUCUCAACUACUUUCUUAGGUUGUCCUCGGAUCAGGUAGGGAUACCCGCUGAUCGUAA